GACGAACGCUGGCGGCGUGCUUAACACAUGCAAGUCGAACGGUAAGGCCCUGCUUUUGUGGGGUGCUGGAGUGGCGAACGGGUGAGUAACACGUGAGUAACCUGCCCUUUACUUUGGGAUAAAUUCUGGAAACUGGGGCUAAUACCGGAUAGGAGCUCUUGCUGCACGGUGGGGGUUGGAAAGUUUUGGCGGUUGGGGAUGGACUCGCGGCUGAUCAGUGUGUUGGUGGGGUAGUGGCGUACCAAGGCUUUGAGGGGUAGCCGGCCUGAGAGGGUGACCGGCCACAUUGGGACUGAGAGACGGCCCAGACUCCUACGGGAGGCAGCAGUGGGGAAUAUUGCACAAUGGGCGGAAGCCUGAUGCAGCAACGCCGCGUGCGGGAUGACGGCCUUCGGGUUGUAAACCGCUUUCGCCUGUGACGAAGCGUGAGUGACGGUAAUGGGUAAAGAAGCACCGGCGAACUACGU
rnacentral:rRNA from 1 species